UACAGAGGGUGCAAGCGUUAAUCGGAAUUACUGGGCUUAAAGCGUGCGUAGACGGUUAUGUAAGUCGGGUGUGAAAGCCCCGGGCUCAACCUGGGAAUUGCAUUCGAGACUGCAUAGCUAGGAUGCGGAAGAGGGAAGCGGAAUUUCCGGUGUAGCGGUGAAAUGCGUAGAUAUCGGAAGGAACACCAGUGGCGAAAGCGGCUUCCUGGUCCAGCAUCGACGUUCAGGCACGAAAGCGUGGGGAGCAAACAGG
rnacentral:rRNA from 1 species